GUGAAACUGCGAAUGGCUCAUUAAAUCAGUUAUCGUUUAUUUGAUAGUACCUUACUACAUGGAUACCUGUGGUAAUUCUAGAGCUAAUACAUGCUAAAAACCCCGACUUCAGGAAGGGGUGUAUUUAUUAGAUAAAAAACCAACGCCCUUCGGGGCUCCUUGGUGAAUCAUAAUAACUUAACGAAUCGCAUGGCCUUGCGCCGGCGAUGGUUCAUUCAAAUUUCUGCCCUAUCAACUUUCGAUGGUAGGAUAGUGGCCUACCAUGGUGGCAACGGGUAACGGGGAAUUAGGGUUCGAUUCCGGAGAGGGAGCCUGAGAAACGGCUACCACAUCCAAGGAAGGCAGCAGGCGCGCAAAUUACCCAAUCCCGAUACGGGGAGGUAGUGACAAUAAAUACUGAUACGGGGCUCUUUUGGGUCUCGUAAUUGGAAUGAGAACAAUUUAAAUCCCUUAACGAGGAACAAUUGGAGGGCAAGUCUGGUGCCAGCAGCCGCGGUAAUUCCAGCUCCAAUAGCGUAUAUUAAAGUUGUUGCAGUUAAAAAGCUCGUAGUUGAACCUUGGGGUCUGGCUGGCCGGUCCGCCUCACCGCGAGUACUGGUCCGGCUGGACCCUUUCCUUUCUGGGRAACCUCAUGGCCUUCACUGGCUGUGGGGGGAAMCARGACUUUUACUGUGAAAAAAAUUAKAGUGUUCAAAGCAGGCCUUUGCUCGAAUACAUUAGCAUGGAAUAAUAGAAUAGGACGUGUGGUUCUAUUUUGUUGGUUUCUAGGACCGCCGUAAUGAUUAAUAGGGAUAGUCGGGGGCGUCAGUAUUCAGCUGUCAGAGGUGAAAUUCUUGGAUUUGCUGAACACU
rnacentral:rRNA from 1 species